rnacentral:lncRNA from 1 species
AUGUGUAAAUUUGAUAUAUGUGAUGUUGUAGCGCGAAGGAAGAAGGUUCAAGUAUUAGGAAAUCGGAAGGCCUGCAAAAUUGAGUUGAGAAGUAAGUAGUAUGAUCCGUUAUGAAUGAAUGAUGUGAAAGGAAGGUUUAUGAAUAAGGUUGCAUCAUAACGAUUCAUCUUAGUUGAACCGGUUAUUGGAAAGUUAAGAAAGAAUGUAAUGAAGCUUUACUCGAUCCGUCAUGUACGGGUUGGGGUGCUUGCGAAAGAAUGUUAGGAUUUGUAUUGUUCGUCAUAAAUGAACCGAAUGGGAGUUAUGUUAUGAAUGUUAAUAUCCGUUACUAACGGGUAUGUAAAGAAUGGAAUGUAACGUUUCUAUCGAGACGGGAAUGUAGUGACCCGUUCAACGGGUAGUAAGCGUAAAGAAAAAGAAUGUUGUAAAGGCAAGUAAUAUGUAUACUAUUGAUUUAAAAAUGGUUAAUGUGAUUAUGGAUUAAUUCUUUCCUUGGUGUUUGAUGUAGGUAAAGCCUCAAUUUAAUCGGUUCGGUGACUUGGAACGAGCACCCAUAUGUAAUUCGCCUACAAGCGCUUCCACUACCUUUUGUAACAAAGUCAUGGUUAAAUGUAUUUUGUUGUAGUUAGUUUUAAUUAUUAGUUAAACAUUGAAGUUUGACUUGUUUGGUCUUUUGAAAUUUCUCUAGAUGUCGGUAGUUAUCUAAAACUACGUUUUGGAUUUGUAAGUCUUUUGAAAGUGUUGUUUAUUACUUGAAAUUACGUUUGUCAAAACAGGGAUUGUUCUUAUAGCAAACGGGUCAUGCCGAAUUUUUCUAAAAAUAAUUGUUGAAUUUAUUAAGUUCUAAAGUGAAUGAAAAUGGGGCAUUAUAAGUUGGUAUCAGAGCCGAGGAUUGAGUGAUUCGAGCACAAGUAGUAGUGCUCGAACUCAAACUGACAGCUCGCUCGAAGGUGUGCUCGCUCCAAGAUCACGUUGAGGUAAAGAUUUAACUUUGUUGUAGAUGCAAGUAUUUAUGUGUCACGACCCCCGACCCCACCCUGGACGGAAUCGGGCGCCGCGAACAGCCAAGUGGUACCGGUGAUUAUUUUAAAAACGUUGCAGCGGAAAAUUUCAUCAGGACCGUGAGUUAGGAAAAAUAUCAGAGUUUAGAAAACACCGGAUUUUAUUUAAAUAGAUGGAAUAAAUUCAUGUUUUACAAAGGUAGCUUUUAAUAAAAACAAUAUUUCUUAAUUUGAUUUCGGAAUAAAAUAAGCCACUUCUUGAAGUCCUUCAGUGCCGGAUCCAAUCCUUACUCCAUUCUACUGUAAUUACCUGAAACGCGUUUUAAAAAGGUUUUGUCAGCGGGAAAUACUGAGUGAGUUCAUUCAGGUUUAUAAAAACAUAUUUGUUAUAAUUCACAGUAUUAAGAGCGAUUACAAUGUUUCUGAUAUCAACCAACUACCCACAGUAUUUGUCACUCGACCGGAUCUGUGACUGUGGUCAUGUCACUGUUGGGUCCGUUCACCCACAAGUGACGUAAUUCACUAUUUAGGUCCGACUACCUAAUAGUGUAUAUCAUGAUUUAGGCUCGCUCACCUAACAUGAUACAAACAAUAGUAAUGUGCACAAUACCCCACAUACUGGCUGUAAAUUUGGCGAUUACAAAGACUUAAUCCCUGUAAUUAUAACUUUGGAAAAUAAUUUGGAGUAUUGUAAAACAGUUGAUAAAAAAGAGAAUGACUCACAGUAUAAGCAUGCAGUAUUGAUUUAACAAGCUUCUUGAUUCUACUCCUUCUGAUAAUUAAUCAUAUACUUUAUUAUUUUGGAUCUUCUGAUGAUUAAGCAUCCAUUUUGAUUGUAAGCGUAUAGUUGGGAGUAUUCUGAUGGUUAAACAUAUAGUUUAACAGAAUGGAAUACGUAUUUGUGUAAAACCCAAAUCAAACCUAACGAUGAUCACGAGAUUCGAACCUUAACGAAUUUCACAAAGUAUAACACUUUGGAUUCCGUUUACCGAAAUUCACAAAGUAUAGUACUUUGGAUUCCGUUUACCGAAAUUCACAAAGUACAACACUUUGGUAUUUGUUUGUUGGUUCCUGAAUCAAUCGGAUAGAACAUCGCUUUGGUGAUUAUUGGUUAUAACACCAACGUAUAUAGUAAAGAAGAAGAGAAAUGAGCAAAGGAAAAUGAAUUCCUAAGCUUCCUAUUUAUAGGUAAGAAGUACGAAAGUUCUAGGAAGUUUCCUUUGUGUUUCUAGGAAAUUACCUAUAACUUUCCUACGAAGUUACCUAUAGAUCUUCCAGGAAGCUUCCUACCCACAUAUAUAUAUCUUCUUAUAGCUUCCUUGCACCUUCCUUUGAUAUUAUUUAUUUUAUAUUUAUUUGACUUAAUUAAGCUUGCUUAGCUUAAUUAAUCUUGCUUAAUUUAAUUAAUCUGGAUUAACUUAAUUAAUUUGAUUAACUGAUUAAUUAAUCAUACUUAACUUAAUUAACAG